AGGGGACCCCCCGGAGUGGAGCCUGCGGGUUAAUUUGACUCCACCCCGGAAAACUCACCCCGGCCGGACACUGGAAGGGUUGACAGAUUGAGAGCUCUUUCCUGAUUCAGUGGGUGGGGGUGGAUGGGCGUUCUUAGUUGGGGGAGGGAUUUGUCUGGGUAAAUUCCAUAAACAACGAAACUCUAGCCUACUAAAUAGAUUGUGGGGUUGUAAACCCCCGCCAGACUUCUUAGAGGGACAGGCGGUGAUUAACCGCCCGAGAGAGAGCAAUAACAGGUCUGUGAUGCCCUUAGAUGUGCGGGGCCCCCCGCGCGCUACACUGAAGUGAUCAGCGUGCUUUUUUGAUGAUCCGGGCGGGAGGGGGGAACCCAAGGAACCUCCUUCCGGAAGGGAUAGGGGGUGGUAAUUUUGCCCCUGAAACGGGAUUUCCCAGUUACGCGAGUCAUUACUUGCGUGUGAUUCUUCCCCUCCCCUAGAAAACCCACCCCGUGCUAGCCCCAUUGAAGAUUGUAUGAGGUC
rnacentral:rRNA from 1 species